UGGUGAUAUUGUGUCUUAAAAGUAAGGAUCCCGGAUCUUUUGUUUGAAAAAUUAAGGGUUAAAAUCAAGGCUGGAUGCCGUAUUUUCGAGCUCGUAACAUAGAAUCGGGACUAGCGAUAACAUCUGGUGGAAAUGCGUAUCACGAUAAUGUUUUAUAGAGACUGUAAGAGGCUCUCGUAUUGCACUUGAAGAGUAGAAAUUCUGAGAGUCUGUGAAGAUCAUUUGUGCGAUAGCAAUAUGCCACGGAUGUGAUCCGUCAUCUAAGAUUGAAGGUUUGGAUAUCGAAUAUAGUCUAGAUGUCGAGCGUAGUCUGAACAGUAUAAUAUGCUGAAUAGGGAUGGGUCGAUGUUAUCUUUGUGAAUCGAUCAGAUCCUCUAAGAGGAAAUCAAAGUUCAUGGCUUUUCGGGGGAGUAGGGUGGCAAGCCUGACAGUUACAGAAUUCGACUGAGGGGCUCCUACAGGAGUGGAGCUUGAGGUUUAAUAUGGUUGAACGAGGGGAAGCUCAUCAGGUCCACAGAUAGGAAGGACAGACAGUCUUAUAGAUGGGUUUUGAUUUGAUGUCAGUUGAAGCAUGGGCGGUUAUAGCUGGAGGAGGGAUCAGUUUGUCUAUUUCUGAUAGCGUAGGGGACGUUUACUUGGUAAAUAGGCCACUUGCCUAGGAUGGGGUGCUGGUUUCUCAGAGUGACUAUCGGGGAUAAAACAAUGGAUGUCUGUGGCAAUAACAGGUCUGGGUAGGCCUUUGAUGUUAUGGUCGGCACGCGAUAUGCCAGGUAGGAGACCAGAAGAGUCUUUUCCUUGUCGGGCAGGAGAUGGUAGUAGUGAUCAUGUUUGUCGUGCAGGGGAUGAUAGCAAUGUAAUAAAUGCUCUCCUUCGAGGAAGUCGUGGUAAGUGUGCGUCUUUAACUUGUGGAGAUUACGUACUUAUCCAUGGAGCACAACCCCUGUAGUUAAUUAUGAUUGAAUGAAUGAGCCAUUCGCAGUUUCAGCAGUAUAAGUGUGUUUAUACUAAGGCAGGCAGGGGUUAAUUUAGGAAACAAGCGGUCUGUUUGAUAAAGGAAUCGUCGCUGGUA
rnacentral:rRNA from 1 species